rnacentral:rRNA from 1 species
UACGUAGGGGGCAAGCGUUGUCCGGAAUCAUUGGGCGUAAAGCGCGUGUAGGCGGUCCGGUAAGUCAGCUGUGAAAGUCGGGGGGCUCAACCCUCGGAUGCCGGUGGAUACUGUCGGGCUUGAGUACGGAAGAGGCGAGUGGAAUUCCUGGUGUAGCGGUGAAAUGCGCAGAUAUCAGGAGGAACACCAAUUGCGAAGGCAGCUCGCUGGGACGUUACUGACGCUGAGACGCGAAAGCGUGGGGAGCAAACAGG